UAAAAAAUGCUAGAUGAGAAACCAUUAAUAGAAGAUCAUAAUUAAAGAUAAUGUUUUUGGUAGCUGUACUUUUCCUUCCAGAGUCUUGAUGCUUUGCUGAGCCUGGACCUCAGUGUCUUUUUUAACACUUGCGUGACUGGUAAUUUCUCAGAAAGAUUGUCUCUGAAUCUUCCUUUAAAAUCCUUGGCAUGUGGGAUGGUUACUCCCCUCUGAAUGCUUGCUGUAUCAAGACUGUCAACUGAAGGGAAAGGGGUGUUCAAAGUAAAGAUUUCUUCUUGCCUGUGGCUGAAAUCGCAGGGGUACAGGAUGCCAUUUCCACAAGUCAAGUUCAAUUGGUGUGUCCCUUCCCUGCUGUAUUCCCAGCAUAAGCGUAGGCACCGCAGUGACAAGGAAAGAGCGCUCACCCCGUUAGCAUCACCCACAAGGCUUGUUCUGUUUCAGUGAAGCUCAGACCUGCUGUCAGCACCGUUGAUGUAAAUCUCUUCCACCUGACUCCUUGGACUAGCCAAGAUCUUGUUUACUGACAGACCACAGUCCGUAUUUGUCUUGGAAUUGCAGUUCGAUCUGUCAAAAAAAGAAAAACCCAAGGAGGCCAAGUGCUGGUUUUGGAUGACCUGAGUCCCCUUGAUCUUCUGUGUCAAUGGGGAGAGCCUGGAGCCACUGGAGGGUGCUGGGCACGAAGAAAUGGGCAGGAUAUAAACUGAAUAUGGUCUGCAGCUGUACUGCAGAAGUAAGAGGAGUGUGAGGACCUGUUUGGCUCUCAAGGGGGUGUUGACAUUGUUACUCCCUGAUAAUGAACUAUGGGUGAGCAAAGCCUUUCCUUACCUGUGCCUGUGGAGCCUGGCUGGUUUCUUCAUGUAGGCUCAGUCCCUGGGUGUCCCAGGAAAGUAUCACACAUUUCCCUUGUUUAAUCACCCAAAAUCCUGGGUGUUUACUGGACUGCAGAGCUGAUUUCUUAGAUGACUGGAGAAGUGGUUCUCCAAGGGUAAGUAAUGGUUUCUUCCUCUUCUCCCCAUCCCCUUGUCAAGUAUUUGGGAAGGACAUGAAGUAUGGUCUUAUACAGAGCUUUUUUUCUUUUCUUUUUUUUUUAAUGUCAACAGGACUUGGUUAACAAUAACCUGAAAUUAAAUACUCAGUAUUGAGCAGGUUUUGGUGUGGGCUCUGUGUAUGCCCAGCUGUUCAGAAAGAGAAAUUACAUCUGAUGUGUCUCCCUUAGGCUAGAGCUUGUGCCUGUGGUCAAACCUUCCAAGGAUUUUGAGUUGCUGAAGGAUCGUUGUGAGUGGUGAUGCCAUAGAACAAGAGCUGAUCAAUGAAAUCCUGUGUGAAGAUGAAUAAAAGCAAAAUGUUUCAGAAAUAUCUCUUGUUCAGGGAGAAUAAUCUGUGUAUAAUCUCUGCUAUGGUUUAUUUUUGAAUAUAGUAGUUCGUAGUCAGUUUGAUGUGCUUGGUAGGUGUUGUCGUGACAGGUUUCUAAAGGAACUGUCUGGUUUGAUGCAUCAGUUGUCAGAGCCCUAGACGAGGAUGAUCCAUCCCUUUCCAGAUCCGUUGAGGCUAAGACCAGUUGUCAGCCCAGCCGGGAGGGGGAAGCGAUCGCUGAAGCCAGCGAGGGCCCCCCCCUGAGUGGGACCUGAAUUUUUCUUGGAGGUUUCUGUAUGUUUUGUUAAGCGUGAGAGACGGCAAGAACAAACCCUGCCAGGAGCUGUCGGCCCCCGGGGGAAAGAGUUGUUUGUCUUGAUGCUCUGCUGAAGUUCUGCAGCGAUGACUAAAACUCAAAUCACCAUGGGGUGGUGUAGCGAGACCUCGCUGGGCUGGAGGACGCUGCCAGCACAGCACCCCCUCAGAGGCAUAAUAAAACCGUCUUUUUUAAUUAUUAUUUUUGCAAGACACGCUGACUGAAGUCGGUCAGCUUGUCCAUGAUAUCCUGAUGUCCUCUGGUCACUUUUGAAAAUGCCUCAUUUGUCUUCUGCACACCAAGGAAAUGGAGAACCCAGCUGUAGCCUGCUACAGAGAUUCCAGCUCUUGGGCUUUGGAGCACAUCUCCCAAAGGGCUGCUCUAACUUUACUCUGGAGAGUUGUGGAAGAAGUUGCGUGGCCAAAAGGAGAGCAAGCGAAAAGAGCCAGCUGACCACAUGGUGGCAACAUGGAGAUGCUACGUAAGGAUUGCCUGGACCUGUGUUACCCCUGGAGGAAAAGUUACUUGUACAGAGAGACCUGAAGUGAUUUCAUAGCUUAAAAGAAGACGGUGACGGUGUGAACCCUCUCUGGCUGGUUCUGUUUUCAUGCAAGACUUUCUUUUCCAGAAGAAGGUG